CAUUCGUAGGCCAUUUGACCAUUGGCUCUUCGUGGUGUAACUGGUCGUAUGGUCAUUAUCAUGCAAUAUCAUUUCAACUGGUUUCUAUUCUAGCAUUUGGUGGGAGGCAGGCUGCCACUGAUGAUCUGCAGCAAUGGUGAAAUCACUCGAUGCAAUAAUUCUUUAGUUAUGAGUGCUUCAACACAUGUCAAAUCACAUGUAAGUAAAGAAUUAACUGUAAUAUCAUAAAUUCCACUCUUUGGAGUAUAAAAGUCGAGAUGCUAUCUUUAAUAGCUA